rnacentral:tRNA from 1 species
GCACCUGUAGCUUAGCUGGAUAAAGCGCGAAGCUACGAACUUCGAGACCGGGGGUUCGAAUCCCUCCAGGUGCACCA